ACAGGAAGAAGCUUGCUUCUUUGCUGACGAGUGGCGGACGGGUGAGUAAUGUCUGGGAAACUGCCUGAUGGAGGGGGAUAACUACUGGAAACGGUAGCUAAUACCGCAUAACGUCGCAAGACCAAAGAGGGGGACCUUCGGGCCUCUUGCCAUCGGAUGUGCCCAGAUGGGAUUAGCUAGUAGGUGGGGUAACGGCUCACCUAGGCGACGAUCCCUAGCUGGUCUGAGAGGAUGACCAGCCACACUGGAACUGAGACACGGUCCAGACUCCUACGGGAGGCAGCAGUGGGGAAUAUUGCACAAUGGGCGCAAGCCUGAUGCAGCCAUGCCGCGUGUAUGAAGAAGGCCUUCGGGUUGUAAAGUACUUUCAGCGGGGAGGAAGGGAGUAAAGUUAAUACCUUUGCUCAUUGACGUUACCCGCAGAAGAAGCACCGGCUAACUCCGUGCCAGCAGCCGCGGUAAUACGGAGGGUGCAAGCGUUAAUCGGAAUUACUGGGCGUAAAGCGCACGCAGGCGGUUUGUUAAGUCAGAUGUGAAAUCCCCGGGCUCAACCUGGGAACUGCAUCUGAUACUGGCAAGCUUGAGUCUCGUAGAGGGGGGUAGAAUUCCAGGUGUAGCGGUGAAAUGCGUAGAGAUCUGGAGGAAUACCGGUGGCGAAGGCGGCCCCCUGGACGAAGACUGACGCUC
rnacentral:rRNA from 1 species